GUGGGGAAUCUUAGACAAUGGGGGCAACCCUGAUCUAGCCAUGCCGCGUGAGUGAUGAAGGCCUUAGGGUCGUAAAGCUCUUUCGCUGGGGAAGAUAAUGACGGUACCCAGUAAAGAAACCCCGGCUAACUCCGUGCCAGCAGCCGCGGUAAUACGGAGGGGGUUAGCGUUGUUCGGAAUUACUGGGCAUAAAGCGCGCGUAGGCGGAUUGGAAAGUUGGGGGUGAAAUCCCGGGGCUCAAACCUGGAAUGGCCUUCAAAACUCCCAGUCUUGAGGUCGAGAGAGGUGAGUGGAAUUCCGAGUGUAGAGGUGAAAUUCGUAGAUAUUCGGAGGAACACCAGUGGCGAAGGCGGCUCACUGGUCCGGUACUGACGCUGAGGUGCGAAAGCGUGGGGAGCAAACAGGAUUAGAUACCCCGGUAGUCC
rnacentral:rRNA from 1 species